GCACUGCCUAAGUAAAAUUGCUAAAAAAUACCUUUCACUGUAUUUGAAAGGUCAAGAAAAUGUGGUGUAAGGAUGUUAGAAAAGUGCAUUGUAAAACGUAAAUACUAAAAUGCCGGAUAAUGCUGGGGCAGGGGGUGAAUGUGAAGCUGAGCAUUUCCUGUCAACAAGGAGAAGCAGGCUGCAUUCCAGCCUGGGCGACAGAGCGAGAUUCCGUCUCAUUAAAAAAUAAAUAAAUAAAUAAAUAAAAAUAAAAAAAUAAAAAAGGAGCAGCAACUAUAAGUUAGAUAUAAGCAAAGGGCAGAAGUCUCAAAGGAUGAGGGGUUCCCAAGGUGGAAGGAAAAAUGGUUUAGAGAUGCCAGUUAAGGCAUGGAAGGAAUAAUCAGAAUACCUUACAUUUUCAGAUAGCAUAUCUGCUAUGAUUCCUGCCUUGCUCUGCCUGGUACCAUAGCUGCACGAAUAAUUGUCUGACUCCUCCCUCUGGAUUUAAGCUUGCCAAGAGUACUAGAAUGGUGUGUUACUCAUUUAAAUCUCCUGAAGCAACUAUUACAAUGCCUUGCCCAUAAGUACAUAUUAUUUAUUUGCCCUCAAACUUCCACAAGAAUUGAGGCUGCUUAUCAGAAAUAUUUAAUACAAAUUUACAAUGGAAAAUCAGAUAAGGGGAGCUAAAAAGUAAACAUCCUGGCAGAGAUUUGCUGAACUGGAUUGUGACUCAACCCUUCCCCACUCCACUAGCACACAGACAUACUCAACUUGGGGGAGCGUUCAAAUUCCAAUUCUGGUCAAAACUAUUCUUCUUCUUGGUUGGUCUAAAAGUAGUGAAUUAUUUCAAUCAAUUGUUCACAGUUACAGAUCCAACUCUUUGUUCUUCUCUUCCCCCCUUCUUACUACUGCACUUGACGAGUCAAAAGAAAAAUUAUUCUCCUUUUCAACCGAAAUAGUAUAUUACCUUCCUCAUAUUCUCUACUACAUAGAUCCUAAUUUCAGAAUUCUCUGGCAAAAUAAAUGCAAAUAGGGUAUUUUGCAUUAUGGGUAAGGCAGAUCAGUUGCCAUGGUGAAUAUUUUCAUCACCUUCAUAGAAUAAUAUGUAUCACUCCAUAUAAGGAAAUCUUCCUUUGCCUCCUGGCUCAUAUAAAACUUGCAGCUCGCUUCUCUUCCUCUUCAAUUAACAUGAGACAGGAAAAGUGACUAUUUAGCAAAACAAAAACAAAAACAAAACACCAAAACCCACCCAGAUGAAGUGUCUUAUAAAGAUGUGAUCACAGAAAAUAAGAUAUCCAAGAAAUAGACACAGAUGUUAUUAGCAAAAUGAGCAAAUAGUGUAUUUCCUUAUAGAAAAGUCCUGAAGUUAAUGAAGAAAAAGUUAACUCCAAUAAGAAAAUUAUCCCUGUUGUGAGCAUGUCUAACCUGAUUGCCCCAAUCUUGGUAUAGAUUCCUUUUUAAUAACUCUAAGUGAAUUCAAAUUUCCCCAGCAACCAUUACCUGGGGCCAUUCUAU
rnacentral:lncRNA from 1 species